UGGUGAAUUUUGGACAAUGGGGGAAACCCUGAUCCAGCCAUCCCGCGUGUGCGAUGAAGGCCUUCGGGUUGUAAAGCACUUUUGGCAGGAAAGAAACGUCAUGGGUUAAUACCCCGUGAAACUGACGGUACCUGCAGAAUAAGCACCGGCUAACUACGUGCCAGCAGCCGCGGUAAUACGUAGGGUGCAAGCGUUAAUCGGAAUUACUGGGCGUAAAGCGUGCGCAGGCGGUUCGGAAAGAAAGAUGUGAAAUCCCAGAGCUCAACUUUGGAACUGCAUUUUUAACUACCGGGCUAGAGUGUGUCAGAGGGAGGUGGAAUUCCGCGUGUAGCAGUGAAAUGCGUAGAUAUGCGGAGGAACACCGAUGGCGAAGGCAGCCUCCUGGGAUAACACUGACGCUCAUGCACGAAAGCGUGGGGAGCAAACAGG
rnacentral:rRNA from 1 species